GACGAACCGAGCGAACGUUGUUCGGAAUCACUGGGCUUAAAGGGCGCGUAGGCGGGCUGCCGCGUCCGGGGUGAAAUCCCACGGCUCAACCGUGGAACUGCUCGGUAUACUGGCGGUCUUGAGCCACCUAGGGGCAACUGGAACAAGCGGUGGAGCGGUGAAAUGCGUAGAUAUCGCUUGGAACGCCAACGGUGAAAACAGGUUGGCUGGGGGUGUGGCUGACGCUGAGACACGAAAGCCAGGGGAGCGGAACGGG
rnacentral:rRNA from 1 species